CGAAGCACAAUUAAACAAAAUAAAUUACCACACAACGCACAAUACUUGGAAAUUGCAUACAACUUUCGAAGCGUAAAUAGGUAUCCCGCUACGCAAGGUUGAUGCGCGAAGCGAUUCGAGAAUCACUAUUCGUGCUCUCGUUGCCUGGAUAGAGAACACUGAAAGGCAACUAUUGAAUUCUUCGACACGAUAACGGAAUGAGAUGAGUAAACUAAUUUCGAUUCGAAAGCAAAAGGAGAUAGCUACAAUUGAUAUCUCUCGAAUAUAGUAAGCGGAGACCAUUGGGUUCCCGUUUCUUAAAACCAUACCGUGACAGUUUAAUCUGAGGGAUUUCAGAAAUAGUCUCGUCCACUUUGUCCCAGACCGUGGUAGAAGAAGGAUCGCGAAGUUGUGUAGUUUCCGUGGUGUAAUUGUUACCCUAGCUAGAUAUCGAAGUUUGUGCGGUAAAAGUUGUGCGUGUUGAACUGUUGUGUCAGAGUUCAAAGCCUAGCGCAAGCUACGGCUUUUUCAUUCAGAGCCAACCCAAAAAUACCGCACAAAGCGCAGACGAAAAGCUAGCCGCCGCACCACCCUCCGUCGCGCAUCCAGUCUACGCUCUGGAAGCAAAGUUUCCCGGCGGUUUGAGGCCGGAAGGGAGUCGCGAACGCCCUCAACGCACUCCAGGCGACUAUUCCGUUCAUCGUUCGCCCAGACAGCAAGUUCACGGCACGAGAAAACCACCAAAAUCUCGUGCGUGAACGUGAAACUCGGUUGUAGCUCAACGAGUCAUCGCCGGUGGCAGCCAUCGCCGUCGUCGUCGUAGGAAGCGCAAAAGGGAGCUUGAAAGCGUAAGCCCCGAAAGACCGUGAGUAAAGAGCCUUGCAUGCAAGCACCUUAGCACAGACACACAAUAUUAGCUAGAGUAGGCAAAAAACCGCACACGUUAGGUAGCCAGAUGUGAACAGGGGAAAUUAAGCCGGCCGGUCGGAAUGACCGUUGUAAAUACCUAGGUUAAGUAAUCCGUUAAAUAAAUGUCGUUGAUAAAGUCUUUGUUUCCGUAAAAACAUGUAUUAGUGAUAGUUAAGAAAGCUUAAGUGUGUUUCACGUUCGAGUAGUUUUAGUUUGUCCGUG